CCACUCUGCGGGCCCACGCGCCCGAGGCGGACGGCCCAGGGGGGCCAGCCCAGCGGCGGGCUGCUGCCUGCGGGACGCACCGGGCCUGGGUGCGGGGAGCGAGGGGCCCAGCUCCGGGUGUGGGGGGGUGCCAGCCCUCCGCCAAGGAAAAGUGAUCUGUGGUGCUGCUGGUGGCACCGGGGAUUAUUUUUAGAGGCAGGCAUGUUCUGCUUCAGGAAGCGCUGCCAGAAAGUGUGAUUUAAAAGCGAAAGGUAUUUUAUCAUCCUAUAAAGAGCUGUUCCCAGGAGACCACCACAUGUUAUCUUAUAGAGGAAAAUUGUGCUGUCAUCCUGAGCAACCUUGACUCAUGAAUUCCACUCCUGGCCCUUCCUGUCGGAUCACAGAAAGGUGGCAUGCUGGGCUUUGGUUUCCUGUCUGCAGAAAGAAGACAAUGACUUGUAUCUCAUGAAUAGUGCGAGGACAAGGCAUCUAGCUUCCCUUCGGUCACUCAUGAGAAUCGUACGCUGUUAUUGAGCAGACCAGUCGCUUGUUGCCUUAUAAAGGUGUCUCAUUACUGAGGCAAACUAGCAGUUAGUGUCUCAUUGAAGUGCAGAAGCAAUCCCAUAAGAGAAGGUGGCUUAUCUCCAUGUCAGAGUCGCUCUUAGACUUCCUGCAGAUAGCAGUUAGGGGGUUAAUUAGGAUUCUCGAAUCCUGGAUUCACACAGCAAUCAUGCUUCUGACAAGCGUUCCACAUAUACACAAACUGCAGCUUUUACUUUAUUAUGCCUCAAACAGAAGUAUAACAUUAGUUGUAUUGUCAAAUAAUUAGUCUUUAGGGUAUUCCCCUUAGUUCUUGGUACAACUGUAGUUCCACCUGCUGUGGUAAAGGUUUCCCUUAGGUCCUAUUAUUUUCAUGUUUUGGAUUCUUCAAAGAUAAAAUGCCUACUUAAAUGUUUAACAGAUGUACUGGAUGUAGAGAAGAAAAAACUGUGAAAGGCCAAGGCCUGCAACCUCUUCUGCAUGACGUUGCUAACGUGUUGCCCUCUAGCUUACAUAAUUCUUGUGAAUAAAAUCUUGCAUGUGUGUGAGUGUUAAUAUCAUGCCCAUGCUAUAUGGAGCUGUAUGUUUUAUGCAUGAAUUUAUAUUCCUAGAUUUCUGCUUUCAAUGUUGUUUAAUGCUUUUUUCCCUUUAUACCCAUCUGAUUACAUUAGACUGCUUCAUCUUUCUCUUUUGCAUAUUCAUCCGUAUCUUUCUUCCCAUCAUUCUAUGUCUUUCCUCUUUUUUGCUAUUUAAUUCAAUCUGUCCUUCCAUUUGUUCUCAGGUACUUUCUUCAUAAUUUGACAGAAUGUGUCAGAUUUCCUAAGUUUUUGUAUCUCUGAUCUCAAUGCUAAUGUUACUAAAACCUGAAAGUAAAAUGUCAGACCGA